rnacentral:rRNA from 1 species
CAGUCGCCACGGUAAUACAGAGGGUGCGAGCGUUAAUCGGAUUUACUGGGCGUAAAGCGUGCGUAGGCGGCUUUUUAAGUCGGAUGUGAAAUCCCUGAGCUUAACUUAGGAAUUGAAUUCGAUACUGGGAAGCUAGAGUAUGGGAGAGGAUGGUAGAAUUCCAGGUGUAGCGGUGAAAUGCGUAGAGAUCUGGAGGAAUACCGAUGGCGAAGGCAGCCAUCUGGCCUAAUACUGACGCUGAGGUACGAAAGCAUGGGGAGCAAACAGGAUUAGAUACCCGGGUAGUCCCUGUCUCUUAUAA